rnacentral:rRNA from 1 species
AGCAGCCGCGGUAAUUCCAGCUCCAAUAGCGUAUAUUAAAGUUGUUGCAGUUAAAAAGCUCGUAGUUGAAUUUCGGGGUCAGUAAGUUGGUCGUGCCACUGGUAUGUACUGGCUUUACUGAUUCCUCCUUCUUGUAGAACCGUAAUGCCAUUAAGUUGGUGUUGCGGGAAAACAGGACUGUUACUUUGAAAAAAUUAGAGUGUUUAAAGCAAGCUAACGCUUGAAUACAUUAGCAUGGAAUAAUGAAAUAGGACGAACGAUCCUAUUUUGUUGGUUUCUAGGAUUGACGUAAUGAUUAAUAGGGAUAGUUGGGGGCAUUAGUAUUCAAUUGUCAGAGGUGAAAUUCUUGGAUUUAUUGAAGACUAACUACUGCGAAAGCAUUUGCCAAGGAUGUUUUCAUUAAUCAGGAACGAAAGUUAGGGGAUCGAAGACGAUCAGAUACCGUCGUAGUCUUAACCAUAAACUAUGCCGACUAGGGAUCGGAUGAUGUUAAUUUUUUAAUGACUCAUUCGGCGCCUUA